CCUUAUCUUAAUAUAUAUGAUUUAUUGAUUCAUUUUGUAAUCAUUCAGCGUAAUUCUGAUAUAAUAAACAGUCUAGUUCUAGUAUUUGAUUUUGGCGCCUAACCGAAAACGUUACUCAAAGCAAACUCAAGAUGACAGCUCUUCUUUAUUGUCCGGGUACGACCGCCGGCUAUAUAGAUAUGAAAGAGCGCUGUGCAGAUCGUAUUGUGCCAGUAUUAAUAUUAAUGUAUCACACAAUCCCGUGUCUCAACAUUCUCGAUAGAUUUUGCAUCAGAAAGAUUUCAAGGUCAAGCUAGUUUGGCAUAAAUUUAAGAACACAGUUCAACAAUAAUUCAAAAUAAUGUGAUUAUACAGUAAAAAAUAGCCCUUUUUCAAAAAACAUCCUCCUAUUGCUUAAGUUCAUUUAACAAAACAUCACAAUUCGGUUUCAUUAAGAACAAUGAAUCACAUGUUGAAUUUUAAACCAAUAAAUACGAUUUGCUAGGUGCGUGUUCAUUUGUAUAUUUUGUAUAUCAGAAUAUAUACUGAUAACAUACCAGUAUAUUCACAGAUAAAAUACAAUUUUACACACUGAUGACAUAUGCUACAUGCCAAUAAGCAGCACAGGGUAGCAGACAGCUCCUCACAGAGACAGAUUGGCUAGGGUGAUCUAAGCUGGGUCUAGCUAGGCUACGCUAGGUCUGGCUACGCUACACUGGGUCUGGCUAGGAUAUGUCAGUUUCGGCUAGGCUAGGCUACACUACACUGGGUCUGGCUAAGCUAGGCUUGGUCGAGCUAGGCUAGGCUACACUACACACUACUACUUCUACCGCAUAGGGAAGUCAAAUGGAGGCUGAUCUGUUCCAUUCUGAUUUGGGAUCAGAAUGGAACAGAAUCCAUGUGACGGUGCUGUUUACACUGUUCAGAAACGUGAGUCACAUGUGAGCAGAUACAAGAUCUGUUCUACUUUGGCCUCAGUGGGAACGAGGUCUCAUGUAGGGCGUCAGUGCACCAAGUCGAACACGGCAUAAGACUUGCUUCACAAUCUGCUGCUUAGCUGAGGCUAGUUUUGGCUUUGCUAGGCUAGGCUGACUUUGGCUGGCCUAUCUUAGACUCUGCUGGGACUGGUUUGGCUAGGUCUGCGCUAGGGCCUGGGGGGGCUUGUAGUGUGUCCGUCCGUAGACACUGUGGUACUAUGCUAGCAUAGUUAGCCACGAGGUGGUGUUAGCAAUCAUGAUAGCACACAAGCCAUUCGCCCGUUCCUGUUAAGGGUCUGUGGGAAGCAAUGCAUCAUGGGUAUAAGUCAUCCGGGGCCUCAGUACUUCCUGGAGAGCCGCUUGGGUCUGCGGGGGCUCUGGCGACGCUGGGCCAGGGUGCGGCCCGGCAGGUCCGGCGGGACGCGGGGGAAGGGGCCCCGGGGGCCCCGGGGGGGGCCGCUGCAGCAGGACCCGGGCCCUCUUCCCGUCCGGCGGCGGCGGCUCCGUGUGCCGGGUCUUCUGGGUGUGCUUGCCUCUCCUGGGGUCCGGGUGGUCCUGCGUCUCCGUCUCUUUGGGGAGGGGGGGCCCCGGGGUCCUGCUCCUCCAGGGGCCGGGCGGGUCCUUCACCGCCGUCCUCUUGAGGUCCCCCGGUUCCGCCGCCGGCCCGAACACCCGGCGCCGCGCGCGCAGCGGGAACGCUCCCUGGGCGGGGGGGCCCUCCUCCGGGGCCCCCGGCGGGCUGCAGGUCAGCGUGGCCUUGGAGGUGACCCUCAGGCUCUGGCGGUCCAGCUCGAUCUGCCGCCACUUGAGCAGCACGGCUGGGCUGGCCUGGUAGCUGGUGGGGCUCUGCAGCCCCCGCAGCAGGUUCCGCGGCGUGGACUUGACGACGGCGGGCUCCAGCAGCCGGCCGUCGGCCAGGCGCCGGGGCGGCGUGCAGGGGGAGCACACGAUGGGCUUGAAGUGGUUGAGCUCCUCCGAGAUGCUGUCGUUGCUCUCGGGGCUGACGCUGCGCUCCGGCCGGGCGGGGGGGGGGAGAGGUCGCCGGGCCGCGCCAGGCCAACCGGCGGUCGCCGCUGACGGGCGAGGAGACGGCCGGGCUGUUCUCGGAGGACAGCAGGAUCCCCGCCACACAGCUGUGUCUCGCCCCCGCCUGCAAACCACACACCGGGUGAACGGACCGGCCUGCUGCUGGGUCUACUGGGGGCCGCCCAGUGCAACCAGCAGAGGAGGCUCCAUCUGCGAGGAGUCAACCCCUCCGACUCACCGC
ensembl:lncRNA